GGCUGUCGUCAGCUCGUGUCGUGAGAUGUUGGGUUAAGUCCCGCAACGAGCGCAACCCACGUCUUUAGUUGCCAGCAUUCAGUUGGGCACUCUAGAGAGACCGCCGGUGAUAAACCGGAGGAAGGUGUGGAUGACGUCAAGUCAUCAUGCCCCUUACAUCCUGGGCUACACACGUACUACAAUGCUACGGACAAAGGGCAGCAAACUCGCGAGAGCUAGCAAAUCCCAUAAACCGUGGCUCAGUUCAGAUCGUAGGCUGCAACUCGCCUACGUGAAGGAGGAAUCGCUAGUAAUCGCAGGUCAGCAUACUGCGGUGAAUACGUUCCCGGGCCUUGUACACACCGCCCGUCACACCAUGGAAGUUGGCCAUGCCCGAAGUCGUUACUCCAACCCGCAAGGGAGGAGGACGCCGAAGGUGGGGCUGAUGACUGGGGUGAAGUCGUAACAAGGUAGCCGUACCGGAAGGUGCGGCUGGAUCACCUCCUAA
rnacentral:rRNA from 1 species